rnacentral:rRNA from 1 species
AAAAAGCUCGUAGUUGGAUUUCUGGUGGGAGUGGCCGGUCCGCCGUAAGGUGUGUACUUGGUUGUCUCCCGUCAUCCUUGUGGGAACUGCUCUGGCAUUAAGUUGUCGGGGUUAGGGAACACAUCGUUUACUGUGAAAAAUUAGAGUGUUUAAAGCAGGCUUAUGCCGUUGAAUACAUUAGCAUGGAAUAAUAAGAUAGGACUUUGGCGUCUAUUUUGUUGGUUUGCACACCAAGGUAAUGAUUAAUAGGGAUAGUUGGGGGUAUUCGUAUUUAAUUGUCAGAGGUGAAAUUCUUGGAUUUAUGAAAGACGAACUUCUGCGAAAGCAUUUACCAAAGAUGUUUUCAUUAAUCAAGAACGAAAGUUAGGGGAUCGAAGAUGAUUAGAUACCAUCGUAGUCUUAACCAUAAACUAUGCCGACUAGGGAUUGGCGGUCGUUCAUUUAUGACUCCGUCAGCACCUUAUGAGAAAUCAAAGUCUUUGGGUUCCGGGGGGAGUAUGGUCGCAAGGCUGAAACUUAAAGGAAUUGACGGAAGGGCACCACCAGGAGUGGAGCCUGCGGCUUAAUUUGACUCAACACGGGGAAACUUACCAGGUCCAGACAUAGUAAGGAUUGACAGAUUGAGAGCUCUUUCUUGAUUCUAUGGGUGGUGGUGCAUGGCCG